AACGAACGCUGGCGGCAGGCUUAACACAUGCAAGUCGUACGCCCCGCAAGGGGAGUGGCAGACGGGUGAGUAACGCGUGGGAACAUACCCUUUUCUACGGAAUAGCUCUGGGAAACUGGAAUUAAUACCGUAUACGCCCUACGGGGGAAAGAUUUAUCGGGGAAGGAUUGGCCCGCGUUGGAUUAGCUAGUUGGUGGGGUAAAGGCCUACCAAGGCGACGAUCCAUAGAUGGUCUGAGAGGAUGAUCAGCCACAUUGGGACGGAGACACGGCCCAAACUCCUACGGGAGGCAGCAGUGGGGAAUAUUGGACAAUGGGCGCAAGCCUGAUCCAGCCAUGCCGCGUGAGUGAUGAAGGCCUUAGGGUUGUAAAGCUCUUUCACCGAUGAAGAUAAUGACGGUAGUCGGAGAAGAAGCCCCGGCUAACUUCGUGCCAGCAGCCGCCGUAAAAC
rnacentral:rRNA from 1 species